CGAGAAACACGUACGUCGAAGCGAAAUCAAAAAUCGCAAAAAUCAAAACCCAGUUGAGCGAAAGAGACGAAUGCAAAAUGAAUUUGUGCUACGUGUGCCUCGUUUUGAUGGUUCUCAUCAGCAUUGGACAAAGCAUUCAAAGGAAUGCCAAGAAAAUGAAAGGGAAUUCUGGUCUUUCGAAGUCGAUGCGGAGGAAAAAUAUCAUCAAGUGCUGCGGAUCUAAAACUUGCAGUCCGGCAAAAAGAAGAACUUCUUCAAAGCCACUCGGAAACAACACUUCAACGCCGCUUUCGAAAUUUACUGCAGAAAUGAUUACUACAGCUCAAAAUCCUGGAGAGACUAUUUCCGUGGCUGUUGGCACAGAAAAUGGAGAAGUGAUCGUUUCGACCUUUUUGUCCUCAGAUAGUUCUUCUCCCACGACGAUAAUCCCGCAAAAUUCAGAAACACUUUCUAAUUUAAUUGAAGAAACGGCACCAACA